rnacentral:lncRNA from 1 species
AACUCAUAAACUGAUCUAUUUUGAAAUUGCAUUUCUGCCCUCAUGAUAGCAUUAUUGACUUAAUAAUGAAGCAAUGUUACUCAUUCACAAUUGUACAGCAAUGGGCAAAGACUGAAUGACCUCUAUUUUCUGAAAUUGUUUCAUUCAUAGAGUUCACUCCUGAUGGGAACAUCCAGAGACAUCUUCAGAGAGCUUUGCUUUGACCCCCAACCCCCAACAUUUUAA